rnacentral:sRNA from 1 species
CCAUAGCCCUGAUAGCAGUGGAAAUCCUUUUUGUUUUUUCUUUAAAAACAAAAAGAUUGCAACGGAUAGCAGGAUUAGCU